rnacentral:tRNA from 1 species
GUAUAUGUAGCUCAGUGGUAGAGUACCUGCUUAGCAUGCAUGAGGUCCUGGGUUCAAGUCCCAGUACCUCUA